GCAAAGCAUUGGAGCAU
rnacentral:misc_RNA from 1 species